CCUACGGGAGGCAGCAGUGAGGAAUAUUGCACAAUGGGCGCGAGCCUGAACCAGCGAAGUAGCGUGAAGGAUGACUGCCCUCCGGGUUGUAAGCUCCUUUUAUAAGGGAAUAAAGUGAGGCACGUGUGCCUUUUGGUCUGUAUUUUAUGAAUACGGAUCGGCUAACUCCGUGCCAGCAGCCGCGGUAAUACGGAGGAUCCGAGCGUUAUCCGGAUUUAUUGGGUUGAAGGGGAGCGUAGAUGGGUUGUUAAGUCAGUUGUGAAAGUUUGGGGCUCAACCGUAAAAUUGCAAUUGAUACUGGCAGCCUUGAGUACAGUUGAGGUAGGCGGAAUUCGUGGUGUAGCGGUGAAAUGCUUAGAUAUCAGGAAGAACACCGAUGGCGAAGGCAGCCUACUAAACGGCCACUGACAUUGAGGCUCGAAAGUGUGGGGAUCAAACAGGAUUAGAUACCCCAGAAGUC
rnacentral:rRNA from 1 species